UACGUAGGUGGCAAGCGUUGUCCGGAAUUAUUGGGCGUAAAGCGCGCGCAGGCGGUCCUUUAAGUCUGAUGUGAAAGCCCACGGCUCAACCGUGGAGGGUCAUUGGAAACUGGGGGACUUGAGUGCAGAAGAGGAAAGCGGAAUUCCACGUGUAGCGGUGAAAUGCGUAGAGAUGUGGAGGAACACCAGUGGCGAAGGCGACACGCUGGGCCGUACCUGACACUGAACCGCGACAGCAUGGGGAGCAAACAGG
rnacentral:rRNA from 1 species